AGGACAUUCAAAGAUUUGCCCAAAGGUCACAGAGUUCACAUCUAAACUCAGGUUCGCAAGUCAGCUUUGCAGGCAUUCGCUUCAGUUCUUUGUUUUGUUUGAGAAGGCCUCGCUAUGUGGGGCUCACUAUAUAGACCAAGCUGCAUCAGACUUACAAAGACUCACUUGCCUCUGCCUCACCAGUGCUGGGAUUAGCAGUGUGAGCCGCCACACCCAUCUCCAAACAUCUUCAAUCAAGAAUAACCACCGUUCUUCGCUGGAGUCAACUCAAAGCUCUACUUUGUAGUAGGUGGACAGAAUGAUUUUGGAGGCAGCUGCAAUUUAGAACAAGCAUGGCACGAUGGUUUAUUUCCAGCAGGUCAAAGAAACCUUCCUGAACGUUUUCCAACACAGCCACACACAUGCUUGUAUCAUGCCUGAGCUCUGCAGAAAACAUGACUAUUCUAAAGGUCUGCGACAUGAAGCCAUUUGCCAAGAGCUGGGUGGAGUAGAAGAAAAUCCCUGGAAAGUCACCAGAAGAGCCCUCCACCAGCCGGACCUCCUUCCCAGUGGAAUGGUUUUCUACCCACACGUGAACAGUCUCAGACUGUCCUACCAAGGUUCGUCAAGAUCUGACUGUGCCUUCCAGAAAGGGCAUCUCUGUGUGCACAGCACAUGUGAAGCCAGUGUUCUAUGGCUUGCACAUUUGGUUUUUUUAAGAGCAAACCAAUCUGUGAGUCCAGUCAAGUACAUCAACACUAAGGUGGAAGGAAACUUGAAGGGGAGGUUCUCAUAGAUUCCCCAUUCCUGAACCCUUGGAGUCCCUAAAGACAGGAGCCUAGCUUAACUGCCCUUUGAGAGUCUCCGCCCAGCAGUAGCCUGUGGAAACAGAUGCAGAGUCCACAGCUAAACAUUAGACGGAGCUCGGGAAGUCUUCUGGAAGAACUGGGGUAAGGACAGGAACUCCACAGGAAGACCAACAGAGUC
rnacentral:lncRNA from 1 species